ACCUGAACAGUUUACAGAAUCUCUUGUUUAUGAGGUUGCUGAGGUUCAAUUGCUAAACAGAAUGCCCGAUUCUCAAAAAAGUGAAAUAACUGUUAAUCGAGAGGCAGCUCCUCAACUACGUACAGCAUGUAGAUCUGUGUCAGUACCUGACCGACCUCAACCUCCACAAAGACCCCCUCCACCAACUAUGCAAAGCAUGAAAAAAAUCAGCCUCUGAUACUGUGCUUUCAUCUGAAGAAAGUCCUUUUCAGGCCAUGACUCUGAAUCCAUCCCAGAUUCUUCCAGGGCCAGCUGUAAGUUACCAAAUUGAAAUUCGUAGA